CCAUUUGUUAUGGUUUAAAUUUAACAGUGUUAAGGCUAUCAAUGGUAUCAAUAGGAAAAACCAGAUAGAAAUAUUAUACUAUUUAUGAAAGUAAGAUAUAACCUCAAUAAAAUUUUACGUCCAAUAAAGUGCCAGCAGACGCGGUCAGACUUUUGUAAAUAGUUAAAUUACUAUAAAGUAUAUUAAUAAAUAUUACUAUAUCUUUGGUGAAAUAAGCAAAUAACACCUUCAUAUUUUAUUUAAUCUAAAACACUGACCUUAAACUAGGAUUAGAUACCCUAUUAUACAGUGUACAUAAAUAUACUCCAAGUACUAAAACCACAAAGGUUAAAACUUAAAUAAUAUGGCGGUAAUUUUAACAUUUAGGGGAACUUAUCUGAUAAAUGAUAACCACCAAGGUUAACCUACUUUAUAUAAAAUUUUGUAUGCCGUCGUCACCAGAUAAUACUAGAUGUAAUAUCUCAAAAUAUAUUUAUAACAGGACAGAUCAAGGUGUAGACUAUUAUAAAGACAAGACGAGUUACUAUAAUUUUGCGGAUAUAGGGGAGAAAAUCUCUCUUGAAGGAGGACUUAAAGGUAAUUUAUAUUACUCAUACUAAAUGAAUACAACUAAAAUUAUGCACAAAUCGCCCGUCACUCUUGAUGUAACUUAAGAUAAGUCGUAACAUAGUAGGCGUAGCGGAAGCUGCUCCU
rnacentral:rRNA from 1 species